rnacentral:rRNA from 1 species
UACGGAGGGGGCUAGCGUUGUUCGGAAUUACUGGGCGUAAAGCGCACGUAGGCGGCUUUGUAAGUUAGAGGUGAAAGCCCAGGGCUCAACCCUGGAAUUGCCUUUAAGACUGCAUCGCUUGAACAUCGGAGAGGUAAGUGGAAUUCCGAGUGUAGAGGUGAAAUUCGUAGAUAUUCGGAAGAAACACCAGUGGCGAAGGCGACUUACUGGACGAUUGUUGACGCUGAGGUGCGAAAGCGUGGGGAGCAAACAGG